AGCCUGGCUGCACCUCUCCUAGACCCAUUUAAGAGCUGACUGCCAGUAGGGAAGGAUCUUUUCUGGAGAUCUCUCCUUUGGAGUUUUACAGUGAGUGCAAGACAAAGGUGGCAUUCGUAAGAAAAUGCAGACAAUUCUGGAUAAGAGCUUGGAAAUGAGAGAUGGAUGCCUAUAAUAUUCCAAUGGGAAACAACAAUCUAAAAGUUGACGGCAAAGGAAAAAAAAAAUCUCCAUCAUUUGUUGUAACUCAC